rnacentral:lncRNA from 10 species
UUCUAUGGAAAAAUAAUGAACACAUUUAAGAAAAGUUGAAAUCAGAGUUUUCUUCUAAGAGAAAAUGAAAACAGUAAUAACACCCAGAGGGAGAUGGCCUGAAACUUGGUUGUUUCAAAGAAAGCUGUUGGCCCAUCUCCCCACUUCACCUGACUCCCAUUCCCACACAGGCAACCCAACACAUUCAAGGUCAUGUCGGAACAGCUAACCUGACAGGGUGGGAUGCGGCCUACUGCUCUGAAGACUCGAAAUGCUGACGGCACCCUAUUAGCUUUCUGUUCACUUCAGUCAACUUCCUUCUCAUGGUCUAUCCUCUUCCAUAUCGUGAUGCCUUCCUUCCAUGUAUCAUCCAUCUUACAUCAUUGUGUAUAUCACACUAAGUGUCAAUAAAGU